CGGAAGGAUUUCCCCUCUCCCUGCAGAUGUGCAGAGAGGGCUUUUCAGCUCAAUCACACCCACCAACGACCCCCAGGACAGUAAUGGCCUGGGUGACAGCCAGAACGAGCAGUGCCUCCUUCCAGGCUGCAGAGAGAGGACAGAAGCCGCUGAGAAGGCGGGAGCUGUGCAGAGGGAAACAGCUGGCCGCCUAUGAGACCACGGUUCCCCUCUCCCUGCUAAGAUAAUGCUUUCAGCACACGCUGAUUUGAGCUUGAGGAGGGUUGCCGCCAAAGGAUGUCACGGGAGGUGUCGGCUCAUUCCCGGCGUUAGGAUUCACUGUGUUCCAAAGCUCUUCUGGAAUUCCCCCCAGAACUUCUUAUUUGGGCUCUGUGAUCUGGACAAUACACCUUUGGCGUAGAAACACGGUCUUCUGACUUCACACCCCCGGCCUCCACACCCUGAAAUGACUUCCUUCUAUAAACAAACACAGUUUGGAAUUUGGAGGAUAAAUAUGUUGAAAAAUAA